rnacentral:tmRNA from 1 species
GGGGACGACUGGUUUUGACUGCAAGGUCAAUUAAAAUAUAAGCAUGCCGAGUAAUGAAAUAGCACUCGUAAAUCUCAAUUUCAAAACCAUAAACGGCGAAGAUAACUACGCUUUAGCUGCUUAAUCUGAAUCACAGUAAGAUGAGCCUUGUCGUACUAGGUACGAAAGCUAAAUGUCUCUUGAAAGCCUUGGUUAGCGGCGUUCUACAUAGAGGCAUCGUAAAAGUUAACAUAGAAAUAAUAGUGUUUCGAUAUUAUUUUGAAACUUAAGAAACUAAGCUUAAAGUAGGUAGUUUUUAAUCAGCUUUAAGACUAAAAUUAAUUAAAAACUAAGCAUGUAGAAAGUAUUUUGGUUGCUUGUUUGGACCCGGGUUCGAUUCCCGGCGUCUCCACUU